rnacentral:rRNA from 1 species
UGCUUACACAUGCAAGUCGAACGAUGAAGCCCAGCUUGCUGGGUGGAAGAGUGGCGAACGGGUGAGUAACACGUGAGUAACCUGCCCUGAACUCUGGGAUAAGCACUGGAAACGGUGUCUAAUACUGGAUACGACCUAUCACCGCAUGGUGUGUGGGUGGAAAGAUUUAUCGGUUUUGGAUGGACUCGCGGCCUAUCAGCUAGAUGGUGAGGUAAUGGCUCACCAUGGCGACACGGGUAGCCGGCCUGAGAGGGUGACCGGCCACACUGGGACUGAGACACGGCCCAGACUCCUACGGGAGGCAGCAGUGGGGAAUAUUGCACAAUGGGCGCAAGCCUGAUGCAGCAACGCCGCGUGAGGGAUGACGGCCUUCGGGUUGUAAACCUCUUUUAGUAGGGAAGAAGCGAAAGUGACGGUACCUGCAGAAAAAGCACCGGCUAACUACGUGCCAGCAGCCGCGGUAAUACGUAGGGUGCAAGCGUUGUCCGGAAUUAUUGGGCGUAAAGAGCUCGUAGGCGGCUUGUCGCGUCUGCUGUGAAAUCCCGGGGCUCAACCCCGGGCCUGCAGUGGGUACGGGCAAGCUAGAGUGCGGUAGGGGAGAUUGGAAUUCCUGGUGUAGCGGUGGAAUGCGCAGAUAUCAGGAGGAACACCGAUGGCGAAGGCAGAUCUCUGGGCCGCUACUGACGCUGAGGAGCGAAAGCAUGGGGAGCGAACAGGAUUAGAUACCCUGGUAGUCCAUGCCGUAAACGUUGGGAACUAGAUGUAGGGCCUGUUCCACGGGUUCUGUGUCGUAGCUAACGCAUUAAGUUCCCCGCCUGGGGAGUACGGCCGCAAGGCUAAAACUCAAAGGAAUUGACGGGGGCCCGCACAAGCGGCGGAGCAUGCGGAUUAAUUCGAUGCAACGCGAAGAACCUUACCAAGGCUUGACAUAGCCGAGAACGCUGUAGAGAUACAGAACUCUUUGGACACUCGGUUACAGGUGGUGCAUGGUUGUCGUCAGCUCGUGUCGUGAGAUGUUCGGUUAAGUCCGGCAACGAGCGCAACCCUCGUCCUAUGUUGCCAUAUGGUGGGAACUCAUGGGAUACUGCCGUGGUCAACACGGAGGAAGGUGGGGAUGACGUCAAAUCAUCAUGCCCCUUAUGUCUUGGGCUUCACGCAUGCUACAA